rnacentral:rRNA from 1 species
GAUGAACGCUGGCGGCGUGCCUAAUACAUGCAAGUCGAGCGAAUGGAUUAAGAGCUUGCUCUUAUGAAGUUAGCGGCGGACGGGUGAGUAACACGUGGGUAACCUGCCCAUAAGACUGGGAUAACUCCGGGAAACCGGGGCUAAUACCGGAUAACAUUUUGAACCGCAUGGUUCGAAAUUGAAAGGCGGCUUCGGCUGUCACUUAUGGAUGGACCCGCGUCGCAUUAGCUAGUUGGUGAGGUAACGGCUCACCAAGGCAACGAUGCGUAGCCGGCCUGAGGGGGGGAUCGGCCACAAGGGGACUGGGAAACGGCCCAGACUCCCACGGGAGGCAGCAGUAGGGAAUCUUCCGCAAUGGACGAAAGUCUGACGGAGCAACGCCGCGUGAGUGAUGAAGGCUUUCGGGUCGUAAAACUCUGUUGUUAGGGAAGAACAAGUGCUAGUUGAAUAAGCUGGCACCUUGACGGUACCUAACCAGAAAGCCACGGCUAACUACGUGCCAGCCGCCGCCGUAA